rnacentral:rRNA from 1 species
CCUACGGGGGGCAGCAGUGAGGAAUAUUGGUCAAUGGACGAAAGUCUGAACCAGCCAAGUAGCGUGAAGGAUGACUGCCCUAUGGGUUGUAAACUUCUUUUAUAUGGGAAUAAAAUGUUCCACGUGUGGGAUUUUGUAUGUACCAUAUGAAUAAGAAUCGGCUAACUCCGUUCCAGCAGCCGCGGUAAUACGUAGGAUCCGAGCGUUAUCCGGAUUUAUUGGGUUUAAAGGGAACGUAGGUGGAUAGUUAAGUCAGUUGUGAAAGUUUGGGGCUUAACCGUCAAAUUGCAGUUGAAACUGGCAGGCUUGAGUACAGUAGAGGUGGGCGGAAUGCGUGGUGUAGCGGUGAAAUGCUUAGAUAUGACGAAGAACACCGAAUGCGAAGGCAGCUCACUGG